GAUGAACGCUGGCGGCGUGCCUAAUACAUGCAAGUCGAGCGAACGGACGAGAAGCUUGCUUCUCUGAUGUUAGCGGCGGACGGGUGAGUAACACGUGGAUAACCUACCUAUAAGACUGGGAUAACUUCGGGAAACCGGAGCUAAUACCGGAUAAUAUUUUGAACCGCAUGGUUCAAAAGUGAAAGACGGUCUUGCUGUCACUUAUAGAUGGAUCCGCGCUGCAUUAGCUAGUUGGUAAGGUAACGGCUUACCAAGGCAACGAUGCAUAGCCGACCUGAGAGGGUGAUCGGCCACACUGGAACUGAGACACGGUCCAGACUCCUACGGGAGGCAGCAGUAGGGAAUCUUCCGCAAUGGGCGAAAGCCUGACGGAGCAACGCCGCGUGAGUGAUGAAGGUCUUCGGAUCGUAAAACUCUGUUAUUAGGGAAGAACAUAUGUGUAAGUAACUGUGCACAUCUUGACGGUACCUAAUCAGAAAGCCACGGCUAACUACGUGCCAGCAGCCGCGGUAAUACGUAGGUGGCAAGCGUUAUCCGGAAUUAUUGGGCGUAAAGCGCGCGUAGGCGGUUUUUUAAGUCUGAUGUGAAAGCCCACUGCUCAACCGUGGAGGGUCAUUGGAAACUGGAAAACUUGAGUGCAGAAGAGGAAAGUGGAAUUCCAUGUGUAGCGGUGAAAUGCGCAGAGAUAUGGAGGAACACCAGUGGCGAAGGCGACUUUCUGGUCUGUAACUGACGCUGAUGUGCGAAAGCGUGGGGAUCAAACAGGAUUAGAUACCCUGGUAGUCCACGCCGUAAACGAUGAGUGCUAAGUGUUAGGGGGUUUCCGCCCCUUAGUGCUGCAGCUAACGCAUUAAGCACUCCGCCUGGGGAGUACGACCGCAAGGUUGAAACUCAAAGGAAUUGACGGGGACCCGCACAAGCGGUGGAGCAUGUGGUUUAAUUCGAAGCAACGCGAAGAACCUUACCAAAUCUUGACAUCCUUUGACAACUCUAGAGAUAGAGCCUUCCCCUUCGGGGGACAAAGUGACAGGUGGUGCAUGGUUGUCGUCAGCUCGUGUCGUGAGAUGUUGGGUUAAGUCCCGCAACGAGCGCAACCCUUAAGCUUAGUUGCCAUCAUUAAGUUGGGCACUCUAAGUUGACUGCCGGUGACAAACCGGAGGAAGGUGGGGAUGACGUCAAAUCAUCAUGCCCCUUAUGAUUUGGGCUACACACGUGCUACAAUGGACAAUACAAAGGGCAGCGAAACCGCGAGGUCAAGCAAAUCCCAUAAAGUUGUUCUCAGUUCGGAUUGUAGUCUGCAACUCGACUACAUGAAGCUGGAAUCGCUAGUAAUCGUAGAUCAGCAUGCUACGGUGAAUACGUUCCCGGGUCU
rnacentral:rRNA from 1 species